rnacentral:rRNA from 1 species
UACGUAGGGUGCGAGCGUUGUCCGGAAUUAUUGGGCGUAAAGAGCUCGUAGGCGGUUUGUCACGUCUGCUGUGAAAACUGGAGGCUCAACCUCCAGCCUGCAGUGGGUACGGGCAGACUAGAGUGCGGUAGGGGAGAUUGGAAUUCCUGGUGUAGCGGUGAAAUGCGCAGAUAUCAGGAGGAACACCGGUGGCGAAGGCGGGUCUCUGGGCCGUAACUGACGCUGAGGAGCGAAAGCGUGGGGAGCGAACAGG